rnacentral:misc_RNA from 1 species
UUGCUGAGGAAUUUUGAAUUGGAGCUGGUGUCUCCUUUUCCUGAGAUUGACUGGAAUGCAAUGGUCGUAGGUGUGAAAGGAAAGGUAAUGGUGCGUUACAAGCGCCGGGAGCUUUCAGUUAACUAGUGGGAACAACAUUGUGGAUGUUUUGCAGAUAUUAUGCACGCUAGGGCUUGAUCGUGCUUUGAUUUUAUAUUUUUUAUACAUUUCUAGGAGGUGCUUUGCUCUAUUAAAUGGAUUGUGAAAUUGUGGCCUUAUUUAAGUUUCCAUAGACUUACGGUAAUUGUAGCUUGUGACGCUUAGGUUUUGUUUGAAUUGUGAGGAUUGAGGAUCAAAACUUGGAGUUCUGUUCUAAACUUGUUAACGAUGCAAUUUGGUCUAGCUUUUGUAAGCUUGAAGAAUACAGGUUGAAGAAUACAGAAAACUAGUGCAAGUGCCUUAAUAUAUUGUCUAGUCUUUAGUACUUGCAUAUUCUUGACGGG